AGAGUUAAUUUAUUUCGUAAAGUUCAGUUGUCAAAGUGCAGACCUCACAUCCUCACACAACAGAAAAGCAGGGCAAUGAAUCACAGACUUGCAUCCUGUCCCAGCCUUACCCUGAGCUUCCUGUAUAAAUGAUGUGACCAAAUUACCCAGCCUUCCUGAGCUCCGUCUUCCAGCUGUCAGGCAAGACGUCUGGACCAUGAAGUCCACAGCAAGUCAUGUCUGUGCACAUCUGUGUUUGGUAGUGCUAGCCCCUUCACCGAGAAAAAGGCUGCUGGUUUGUAUGCACACAGUGCAUAAUCAACUGUGUGUGUGUGUGUGUGUGUGUGUGUGUGUGUGAAGGCCAGCAGAAAACCUCAGUGACCAUUCCUCCUCUAAGUGCAGUGUUUUCAACACAGUGCCUCAGUGUUCUGGGGUUUGCUAAGCUGGCUGGUCACCAAGGCCCUAGGAUCUAAUAGUUAGUGACUCCUUAGAACUUACAGGUAUAUGCCACUGCGUUUAUGUGUGUGUGUGUGUGUGUGUGUGUGUGUGUGUGUGUGUGUGUGUGUAUGUUUGUAUGUACUUGUGUGUGUGUGUGUGGUUUUUUUGUUUUUUGUUUUUUGAGACAAGUUUCCUCUAUGUAACAGCCAUGGCUGUCCUGGAACUCCAUCUAUAGACUAGGCUGGCCUUGAACUCAGAGAUUUGCCUGCCUCUGCCUCCCAAAUGCUGGAUUAAAGGCAAGCACCAACGAUUGCCUCUGUUAUUACUUUUUAAAGUUGAGUUCUGGGGAUCAAACUAGGGCCCUCAUGCUUGUGCAGUAAGAACUUUCCUGACGGAGCUUGCUCCCCAGACUCUACUGUUAAAUUCUGGGGAGAUUCACUAAAGUGAACCAGAGGAGAAACUCCCUUUCCUCCAGUAACAUCAAGCUGUGAGCUUCUUUGUCCUAGGCCUCCUGGAGAGUUGCAGUCAACCAGAGGCACCACAAUGGUAGGUAGAACUUUGGUGGUUUUCCUGACCAGCUCUGCUCCUCCUGGCUACAUAGGCCAGGGAACACUUCUCUAUUACUCACUGCAAACUGGUGUUGACAAGGGAAAGACAACAUGCUCUUCCAGGAACUACAGUUAUCAUCUCUGUCCAUAAUGGCUGGUCAACCACGUCAUAUCAGCUCACCUGAUAACCACCACUUUAUCCAGACCGAGCAGAGGUAGAAGCCUCAGACAAAAAGCAUCGUCUCAAGGCAGAGACAGAACCCUUGUUUAUUGCUUUCAUGUCUAAAGCCCCAAUCAUUAAGGCCAUAGCUUUAACUCCUAAUCUUAUGACCUGAGUAGUUGGUAGUGGUGUUGGUGGUGGUAGUGUGUGUGUGUGUGCGCGCACGCGUGCGUGUAUGUAUGGGGAGGGGCAGUUGAUCCCAGUCUUCCCCUUCUGACCUCAUUAUCUGGGUGAAUUUCAGGCUAUUCAGGUGACUCAUACAGGAUGUAAGCCAGAAUUGACAGUCAUGAGCCAAGGCUUAAGGACUAUGGGGAAUAUGGAGUCCAAUUACUUCUAAGACUGCCACACUACGGACUUAAUACUUCAGGACCUUCCCAGCAUACUCUGGACAAUCCCCAACAUGCCAUUUCUGAUUCGCUUCCUCUCCACAAGAAGUCCUCUCUGUGAGUGCUUUCGUUAACUUCUAGUUUCCUGUCAAGACCCAGCACUCUACUUUCCCUCUGUGCAGCCUCGUGGACAGCAACGCUCCCUCCUUCCCUGGGCACUGGCACCUGCCUGCAUGCCAAUACUGCUGUCUGGACCUCUGCUUGGAAGGCAUUAGAAGGGGAUGGGUGAGCCCUCAGUGGAAAUCUAGUAGCAGAGUAGGGGAAACGUGUGAAAACGAGCCUUGGCCGCUAUAUAGUAGGUCUACUGGAUUGUGCUUGGCCGCUAUAUAAUAGGUCCUACUGGAUUGUGAAGGUUUAGGAAAAGGAAGUAAGGGCACUUUCCAGGCUGUGUGGUGCAUCGAGAAGAGCAGAGCAGAGCAGAGCAGAGCAGAGCAGAGCAGAGCAGAGCAGAGCAGACUCCCUGAGUGCAGAAGUCUUCCAGGAGAGCAGGAGGUGCAACCUGAGCAGCAGGGGUAGGUGAAAAUUCAACAAAAGCUAGCAUUAUUUGCUGUCCACCUACAUCACACCACGGCUUGGCUCUCAUUCUCACCUAAUUAGUUUUAUGGCCUCUUUUGUUCCAUCUCCUCGAAUAUACCCAACUCUAUAUACCCAUCUAUAAAUAUCCAUAUCUCUAUACCCAUCCUAUAUAUCCACACCUAUAUACUUACCCCUCCACUAUAUACUCUAAGAGAAGGACAGCUGGGAUUUUUUUUCUCUUAUAGGGUCCAUAACAGCACUCUCUGCAUGUGACUUUCGCAGGGUGCCACUGAAUAAAACAGUCUGUGACUUAAUUAACAUUGUAUGGGAAAAGAAACCCAAAGUAAUAUGUAUGUAUGUAUAUAUGUAUAUAUGUAUACACUACAUGGAAAAAGUGUUAGCUUUUUCAUCACCGUGGCAAAUACCCAAGAGAAGAGCACCUUAAAAGGUCAGAGGUGUUAUUGUGACUCAUGGUUUCAGUGUGUGUCUGCCUGUCCCUAUUGCUGUGGACCUAUGGGAAGGCAGAGCCAUUGUCAUGAAGAAGGAGCAGAGGAGCUGAAAUGCUCACUUCAUGGAGGCCAAGAUGCACAGAGGUGGAGGGGGGAAGAGAGAGGGAGGGAGGGGAGGGAGAAAGCCUAUCCUGGUGGGCUUCAUUAUUUCUCUUCUUUUAUUUCAAGGGGUCUUUAGCCUACUGGACGUUAACACCCACAUUCAAAGAAGGUUGUGCUCCUUCAGUUAAUUGUGUAUGGACAUGACCUCACAGGCAUGCCUAGAUAUGCCCUUUACUGAUCCUUUAGGCAGAUCUCAAUUGAGUCCGACUGACAGUCAAGAUCAACCAUCAGAUAUGAAUUAAUAACAAUUCUUUGUAUCUGUUACAGGAACCUAAGUAAACCAGGAAUCAAAACAAAACUAAACUACAACCCACUGUCUGAAUCCAACACGUGGUUUACUUUCAUAAGACAAUGCCUGCUCUCAUGAUAUAAGAAAAGGGUGGCCAGUUAGACUAGAGCCACAUGGACAAUAAAGCCUAAAAUGUUAGCUAUUUGGUACUUCCUACAAAAGGCUUCCAGCCUCAAAUCUAAUCUAUGGCCAUUGUUAACUGGUAUGACUAAACAGUAUACAAUGUGAACACAUGCUGUGGCGAGAAUUUUGAUUUUUUUAAAGCCACAAAAAUCUUAUGUGAUUAUGUUUGUGUUUUGACCCCAGGUGUCUGGUGUGGGGCUGUUUUUGUAGCUAAUUAUGAUUUGUCUCAUGCUCUGGCAGGGGUGUGAUUUUGUCAGCUGAAGAUAGUUUCCAUUUGGAAUUCUGGGGAAUUCUGAAUUCUUCAGAGGGUAUAAAAAUGUCAGAGCCCUGAGAGGCUUGACUGCUGCUCCCCCUGCUGUUGCUGGCUAAUGCUGUAGCAGUUUGUCCAGUGGUCUUGGCCAAAGAGAAGAGAAGAAGAAACUGCAUAUCCUGACUCGACUCUCCUCAGCAGCACUAGUGUGUUCUCAAGCAAGCAGGAGAAGUGUGUUAUUACUAAAAAUGCCAUCUCACGGUGUGAGCAGAGCUGAUGACAUCGUUAAGGACUGGAGCUGAUGGGAACACAGUGUUGGACAUGAUAAGGGAAGGGGCCUGUUGUCCUUGCCAUAAUUUCUCCUGUAAAAGCUAUUAACGCCAAUCGGGGACCAAGCUGAUCAGAAGCUCUGGGGCUCAGGGAACUGAAUAAGUGGUCUCAGGUUAGCGGUGCCUGAGCGAGAGAGUGAGGGUUUCUGACAGUUUUGAAUAUUAAUGACACAGGAGAAUAUUUUACAGUUUCUUUCCAAGUUAAACUGUCCCCAAAUGGCCUAUUUUCUGUUCUUGAUGUCUUCCCUGCCCACUUAACCAGCAUGUAUUUUUGGCCAUGGAGUGUGGGAAGGACCUGGUCUGUGAACAGCUUUACCGUGCUCCCUACUACCUUCGGCACCACAGGUACAGUCACUCCCUUUUGAUGUUCUGCAAAGGCGGGAGCUACACAGGAAACAUGCCGUGCUGGCUGGUUUGUUUUAUUCAACACACUGCAGACACGGGACUGGCAACACACCACUACUAAGGAAUUCUACUUGAGGGCUCAUCAAAUGUGAUCUGCAUAGAAAUAAGUGUCUACUGAGAGCCGAGGGGAGACUGCUUGGGAGGUGGACAAGAGGAGCAGCAGAUGGAAAUGAGGAAAGGAUGAUGACAUAUAUGUGGUGUACGGGAAUGGCAAUGGCCCACUGACUCAUGUGCUUGAAUGCCUGGUCACUAGGGAGUGCCACUAUUAGGAGGUCUGGUCUCGGUGAAAUGUGUCACGGGGGGUUGGGGGGGGAUGUGUGACAGGAGGCUUCAGAAACAUAAACCAGGCCCAGUGUCUAUCUGUCUUCUCUCUCUCUUCCUGCUGCUUGCCUGUACAGAUGUGGACUCUCCUCCUCCAGCAGCAUGUCUACCUGCAUUAUGCCAUGUUUCCCACCAUGAGAAUAAUGGACUAAACCCCUGAACCUAUAAACCAGGCUUAAUUCAAUAUUUUCCUUUAUAAGAGUUGCUCUGGUCAUGGUAUCUCCUCACAGCAACAAAACACUAAGGCAACAUACAUAUACAAAAUUGUCAUAAUAAAUCUUGUGUAGUACAUUAACAACAACAACAACUCCUAAAAUGGGAGCCCUGCAAAGGUAGAAGAGCCUUUCCAAGAUCACGGACGAUGCCUGGAAACUCCCUAGCUGCAGAUGCCACCUGCCAAUGCCAGGUGACAGGAUUGAUUCCUUAAACUGGGCCAAUAAGAAAUUAUUCAUUUACUCAAAUAUUUAUCGACUGCCUACCAUAUAAACAAGAUAAAACAGUCACUGUCUCCUGAAGCUUAUAAUCUACUGGGGCAGAUAAAAAGAUAAAUGGAAAGGUACAAAGACAGACACAGAAACCAUAAGUGGCAAGUGUAAGGAAACAGUUUACUUUCCACGGAGGGGCGUGGGGUGCUUCUUCAAGUGUCAUUUAAAGUGACAUUGUAGGAUUUAGAGCUGGCACUCUCAGAGGUAGUAUACUGGAUAGUUUUUUUUUUUUUUUUUUUUUUUUUUGAAAAUGCCUCCAAAAGAUUGGGCUUCAGGCAAGCCUGUAGGGCAUUUUUUAAAUUAGAGAUUGAUGGGGGGGGGGGGUCCAACCCACUGAGGGUGGUGACAUCCCUGGGCUGGUUGUCCUGGGUUCCAUAGGAAAGCAGGCAAGCUGUGAGGACCAAGCUGGUAAUCUCCACCAUGGCUUCUGUGUCAGCUCCUGCCUCCACGCUCCUGUCCAGUGGAAGCUCCUGCCUUGGCUUCCCUCAAUAGACUCUGACUCAUUUUAUAUUAAAACUAUGCCCAGAAAGCUCUCUGUGUUAUAUAAGAAGCACCAUUAAGGUUUUGGCUCAAAUAAUCAUAAGCAGGUUUUUCACCUGUACAAGUCUCUCAACAGAACGUAAGUGUAGGGGGAAUGAUGGUGCGCAUGCAUGCACACUUAUGGGACCAUUCUUGCAGGGGCUGUCCUACAAGCUGUGAGAUAGAUAGUACCUUUGGCCCCAUUACAACAAACAUCAGUGGCUCCCCUACUAAUCAUUAUGACAACUCAAAACAGCCCUGUACAUUUCCAAAACCACUGUUCCGAUGGAAAACACUGGCUUACCACCUGGAAUAUGCUUAUUAAAUGUUUCUUUUAAUUCAUGACCUUUAAUCAUGAGACCUCAAAAAUGUUUCUUUCAAAGCAUUUCUCAUGUGAGUGUACUGUGCCCACAUUCCUAGAAUUCUUGGUAACGCUACAACAUAUUGAACUGAUAUAGAGAAAAACGUCCCCCAUCACUGAAUCACACAUGGGAAUGAGAAUGUCUGAAAGAGGCUAUGAUCACUUCCACACCGUGCUCUGGUAGUGUAAACUUGGCUUGGCAUGAAGAAACGUUCUCCCAUCUGCUCUCACUACAGACAGAAACACUUCUGGAGCCCACAUGACUGAGACUUUUCCCCAUCACCUCCAGAAAGUAAAUGCAAAAUGAAAAAAUGAGUAGGAUUGUUUACAGCCUGAUCUCCGCGUGUGCUACUGUGAUGAAGCCAACAGAUGAUGCUCUCAUGAGCUCAGCCCUUUGAAGGGAUUUUCAGAAUGAGCAAUGACUGGUCCUUUGGUACCUGUGUUUGCUGCAGCUGCAGGAAGAAGCUGACAUCCAUGAAUGGGAGUUCAAGAUGAUGGGGCGACAGAGACAGAUUCAGCAAUGGGGCGGUGGCAAUGAUUUCUGCAUUCCCACAAUACACAUGGUAAGAUGUGUGGGUAAGCAGUCCUUCCCAGGUCCACGUCUUGAUCUGCUGGUUUUCAAUUCUAGCGGCAUGUGUGACUCUCAUGAGGAGGAUUCUAGAAGUUACUUGGACCUUGGUGGUGUUUUGUUUGUACUUUUGGUGUUGUUUUUACCACCCCCCCAGGUGAUUCCAAUGUAUUAAAGAUUGUUAUCUUAACCCCAAAUUCUAAUUCCACUGGAUAGGCAUCAGCUGAUAUAUUAGGCCAGUUAAGAAAAUAUUUUAAGAGUAGCCAAGAUUCUACACUUCAUAAAUUACUGAAUAGAAAUGACAUCUGUUUCUUUUCCUGCUAAGUUGGUUUAUUGAAUGUAUUGUCUUGUUACAUGAGUAGAUAUAACUUGGCAAAUGCCUGUAAGGAAACAUGAGCUUACUUCAAAAGAUUUACAAGUUCUUUGGACUUAGAAGAAUCUAAUAAGAGGCUAGAGAAAUGGCUCUGUGGUUAAGAGAAUUUUUGUUUUUACAGAGGUUUAGCAGGUUCAGUUUAGAGCACUUAGACAACGGCUUACAAGCAGCUGUAACUCUAGUUUCGGGUAUUCAACGUUCUCUUCUGGUCUCGAGGCACUGCAAACAUGUGGUGCACAUAAAAUACUCAGGCAAACAUGCAGAGCAGAUGGAAGGGUUUAUCAGGGCUAAUGGCCAGGAACAUUCAUUCAUAGAGUGAGGGGGGUCAGGAAUAAGGGGCCAUGUAAAAUAAAAAUAAAUACCUGGAACCCUGUUGGGCACCACUGGCAAGUUUAACUAUACAGAGACGAUAGUCAUCCUCUUGUUUUACCAAGUUCAUGGGGUUUCCUUGAAUUGUGGCCAAAAGAAUCCUGGCCAGGAUGAGAAAGAUGGCAUAGGCAACAAAGAACCGUUGAGCCUCACAAAGGAUUCUGCUGCAGCGCAGUGCGUUCAGUUCCUAUGCGGGCUAAGACUCCUGGGAGACUUAGAAAGAGGUGGUACCUCGCGGAAACAAUAAUCAAGGCAUUACUGCUGCUGCGUUCAUCCCACAGUGUGCCCUCUUUGGUGAGAUGCAGUGCAAAGGCUCAUGCGUGGGGUAUAGUAAGGGUCGUUCUGCACGAAUGGGGAGAACACAUGUAAAGGAGUCCGCUGAAACAGUGGAUGCAGAGGUCAGAGCACAGCUCCUCACUUUAGAACCCCACUUCUAAGUAUGGUCUCUUUUCAAGAGCUCUUUAACAGCCACAUGCAGAAUGUUGUUAGCUGAUAAUUUCCAAAGGAUCCCACAACUGAUAUGCUACCAGAAAACCUUUGUACGCUCUGACUGGCCUGGGCUUCACCAUCAGGCAUUCCACCAGCACCCAUAAAAUGACAGCACACAGACGCUAACGUGGCAGCGGGGCAUUUUCUGGGUCACCUCUCAAUAAGCUGCAGUCUGAAGACAAUCACCGUCCCACUUUACAGAUAAGCAACUAAAUUUGGAAUGUUUCUGAGCCCAGCGCCCCUGGCAGUGAGAAGCAAAAACUGGGUGUGGCGCUCAGUUCAGGGACCUAGAAAGGUGAAAACUGACUAGUAAAUCCAUGCCUGGAGGCUAAGGAAAUGCCCUUCGCAGCCUUGGAUGGAUUUGCAGGUUCCUGGGAAACUUUAAUUUGGAUUCAUAGUUUGCACAGAGGAACAAGAAAGCAACCACAGUGAUGACAAUCAGCCACAAAACCGUUCAUGUAGCUCAAGCCUAACGAUAUCAUACACAGGUUUGAACCAGAAAACACUUCCAAAACAUAAUCUAUGCUGCUGAUCUGCAGUGUUCAGCGAAGCAUUUCAAAAACAAAAACAAAAACCAAAAACAAUGCAGGACUUCUUCAACUCCUCUUUGAUAGGGUGUCUUCAAUCACUAUCACUAUUUUCUAUACCUGUUUCUGCCUUUUCUCUGUUAGGUCUUAGCCUAACCUUAGAAACAAUUACAUAAAAACAACAACAACAACAACAACAACAACAAAAACCUAAGAAAUCCAGAUCAAAAGGGUGCUGGGGCCAGUCAUUAAAAUGAGCUCUGAGAAUGCCCUUGAGCUAUGUGUAGCCAGUAAGGAAGAAACCCCCCCAACCUCCCCCCCCCCCCAUUCACCAGCCCAGCAUCUCCCACUGGGUGGCAGUAGCUUAGGGUCCAUGUGACAAAGAGGUGGAGCACUGUGGAGUGUCACUGCACAGUGUGUGCUAAAUAGUCCAUGAUCAGUGAGCUCCAAGCACCUGAUGGCUCUCAUAUGCAGUGUACUCUCAGAGACAGCAGGGUAGAAUUUAUAGAUUUGGGUGUGUUUCUCACAGUUAGUUUCUUAGGGCAAACCCUUAAAGUUAACUGUAGGUACCAAUGCUUCAGGUUUUCAGCACCGUGUUUGAAGACCAGUGCAUUCCGCUUCACUCUACCGACCAAAUUUCUCUGUGGGUUUCAGUCACUUCCCAAGCCCGAGAAACACACAUGAAAUAUUCCAUUAUGAAAGCCACUUAACUCCUCAGAGAUAUGCAGAUCAGAGAGAGGUCCAGUCACUCCCAUUCUUAUCCCCAGAAAACACCCACGCCAGUCACAAGCAGGAAGCUCCAGAGAAAAAAACCGCUUGGCCUUCAGAAAAUCAUAGUGCUUUGCUACGCUCUGCCAGGAGGGAUGUGCGGUAUUAAACUUUCCACCUAAGAGUUUUCACAGGAGGAAAAAAAAAAAAAAGGCUUUCUUUGUCACACCUUAAAAAAAGAAAUGGGACAGGAAGAGCAAGAGAAGGGUGACUAAUGAUCCAAUGAUACAUGUGGCUAGAACUCCCCGUGACUCUUGAGCGCCGCUUUCCCACUGCUGUUCAGCGCUUGAACACAGGAGCGACUUUGAUUAGCUCCUUUCCAGUGGAGUUCUGCCACUAAGGGAGAGCUGGCGAGCACCGAGCAAUCUAUUGCUCACUCCCAAGUCCACUAUCUCCCGUGUCUACUCGGUCGGCACUUCUGAAGCAGCAGCGCUCAGGGGAAGCAGAGGAGAGGCUGCCACCACAGCAGAGCCAUCCUGUCAGACAAAGCAGGCAGGACCUGCUGUCAGGAAGCUAGCUAGCACUCUGUACUGUUCAGUAUCUGUUGGGAUAACUGCACCACAAUUCUUUAAUGGGAAAGCGCGAGCAGCAACAACAAAAGUCCAUUCACACUGGUUACUGGAACCUGAUGGAUGGAAGGCAGAGUCCAUUUUUAAUUCAUGGCACCUUCCUGUUUAUGUAAUACAAAAGAGGACUCCAAGUUUUUAAAGUCAUUUUCAGCUGCCUGCAUAGUGCUGAAUUAUUUAAAACUCAUUUCACACACACACACACACACACACACCUCUGACAGUUUUUAAAAUACUGUUUGACAAGAGCAUUUCAGCAUCUAUAAAAGUGUGUGCUGCGAGAGCAGGUUCUGGGCACACUGUCUUUCAUUAGCAAGUCCGAGUUAUUUUUACCCGUGGUGGAUCACACCUCACAAUGCUGCUUUAGAGAAAUGAGGAAAAGGAAGCCCCUGCCCAGAGUUCAAGUCCCUCAGUAUCUAUUUAUACCACCUUCUAAGUGAGAGUAACUGGUUCAUCAAAGUCCAGAAGGUAGGUAGCCUGGGCAACCCUCCCUGGAAGGGUACAGAGCCAUGAACUCCCAACCGACACCAGGACUGAGUGUUCUCUAAGACCUCACUGAAUAAAACCCAAAACUCUGAAGAAACCUAGGGAUCUGGUUGAAAACAACAAUUUCACCACAUCAGGGAAACGCCAGGGUCUCGAAAAAUUAUAUUCUAGCCUUUGAAUCAUGAAAACUCGGGCUUUUUCUUUACAAGAAAGAAAAAAAAAAAGAGGUUUGAGUAAUAGGUAUCUAAGUGUUUUUAAACAGUGUGAGAUGUCUUAAAGCAGCAAACCGUAUUCUCCCACAAAAAUACAGCCCUAAGAUGACCAGUCUCCUCCCUGUCUAGAGUGACAGCUUGGCCUUCAAAACUAUUUACUGAAGUUUUCUUUCUACUUUCUUUUUAAAAGACUUUUUGUUUUACUGUUUUGCUUGCAUCUCUGAGUAUGUACUAUGUGCAUGUCUGAUGCCUGUGCAGGUUAGAAGGCCAGACUGGAUCCCCUGCAACUGGUGUUACAGAUGGUUGUAAGCCACCAUGUGGGUUCUAGAAACUGAACUUGAGUCCUUGGGAAGGGCAACAAGUGCUUUUAACACUGGACCACCUCUGCAGGCCUCACCCACCUUAUUUUCUUGAUAAAAGUCUGCCACAGGUUUGUCCACUUGAUUAAUCUCUUUCUCUCUCUCUUUCUUUUCUCCUUCCUUCCUUUCCUUCCUUCCUUCCUUCCUUCCUUCCUUCCUUCCUUCCUUCCUUCCUUCCUUCCUUCCUUCUUUUUUUAAGAUAAGGUUUCUCUGUGUAGGUCUGGCUGUCCUAGAACUCACAAGCCCUGCCUGCUUCUGCCUCCUGAAUAAUGGGAUUAAAGGUAUACACCACCACUGCCUGGCAAUGAAUCUUUUCAAAACUGUAAUUCUUCGUUUAUCAAUUCCAUCAUAUUUGGCGCCUGUUUUAUUAAUUUUGUCUUUCCCUGCAUUUGACCAGUUGUAGUCUUCUGUAGCUGUCUCUGUCUGCUGCAAAGGGAAGCUCCUUUGAUGUGUGAUCAGGGCUACACUCACCUGUGGGUGUAAGGAUAAGUUUGGAAUGCAGUCAGCGGUUACGCUGGUCUAAUAAAGUGGUGGUACUACGUUCUCCUCUAAGAUCCAUGACCCUGGUAGCUGGCUAAAUUUCUAGUACUAGGAAUGAUGUUCCUCUUGCUGAGUAGUUAAAUAUAAUUGUACAGUUGUUAGUGCCACUGUUGUACCUCUACUGAUAGCAGGCCAUGCUGGUCACUGUCAUGGUUCAUAGGUGUCAUGGUUGUGUAGGACUCCUGGUUGUUUUCCUUCCAUGGUAGUUUGCAUAGAACUUUCUGGGAUUAUCUAGACCUCAGGGAAGAGACUUUCAGGUCAGAUCUAGCUCAAAAUCUUCCCUGUGUCUAAAGUGUGUGGUGUCUUUAACAAUAGGGGCUACACUUAAACCAAGGGCAAUUGUGAUAGCCUAUAUUGCCUUGAAAGUCUCUUGGAGGAUUCUCACUAGUUGAUUACACAAAACCAAAUGAUCAAUCUUGAAAUCAAAUACACACAAGUAACACUAAAUAAACUCAGCAGGUGAUAUUUAUUACACAUAUUUGUAUAUAAGAAUAACAAAGUAAAGAGGCCAUGAAUUUUAGUGGGAGGGAGCAGAUCUGGAAGGAACUGGAGGGAAGAGACACUGGGAGAGGUUGGAAAAAGGAUAUUUUAACUACAUAUGUGAAAACUUAAAAAAAAAAAGCUUUUCUUAUAAUCAGUCCUAUCUCCUCUCAUUUCUUAUGUUUUUCCCCCUGUUUGAGCUUCUUAUAGGUUUAGUUACUUUCACAAUUUUCCAGCUAUAGAAGAAAAUGUGCUUAUGUACUGUCGUGGCCACAGGUUUAAAUACAAUGGUUUUUCACUAGC